UGACUCAUGAAGUGCUGGGCAUUCAAAACAGUGAAUCCUUGCAAAGGAUCUUGGGAGUAGACCCCUGUGAAUUGGCUCUUUCAAUUUGUCCACUUAAAGGGCAUAAUAGAUUAUGCAGCUGUUUGGGCUUCAGCAGGGUAUUGCUCCAUAUUCAUGCCUAGUUGCAAUUAUGUGAAUUUUCAGUUUGUUACAAAGACUUCCCUUUGUAUUCAAAACAAUUU
rnacentral:lncRNA from 1 species